AGAGCGAACGCUGGCGGCAGGCCUAACACAUGCAAGUCGAACGGACCCUUCGGGGUUAGUGGCGGACGGGUGAGUAACACGUGGGAACGUGCCUUUUGGUUCGGAAUAGCUCCUGGAAACGGGUGGUAAUGCCGAAUGUGCCCUUCGGGGGAAAGAUUUAUCGCCAUUAGAGCGGCCCGCGUCUGAUUAGCUAGUUGGUGAGGUAAUGGCUCACCAAGGCGACGAUCAGUAGCUGGUCUGAGAGGAUGACCAGCCACAUUGGGACUGAGACACGGCCCAAACUCCUACGGGAGGCAGCAGGUGGGGAAUCUUGCGCAAGUGGGCGAAAGCCUAGACGCGAGCCAUGCCGUGUGAAUGAUGAAGGUCUAGGUAUUAGUAAAAUUCGUUUACGACCGGGGUAACGAAUAAGU
rnacentral:rRNA from 1 species